rnacentral:miRNA from 2 species
UGCUGGAAGACGGGUAAUGGGUGU